rnacentral:rRNA from 1 species
UCGUCACACUAUCAUUAACUGAAUCCAUAGGUUAAUGAGGCGAACCGGGGGAACUGAAACAUCUAAGUACCCCGAGGAAAAGAAAUCAACCGAGAUUCCCCCAGUAGCGGCGAGCGAACGGGGAGGAGCCCAGAGCCUGAAUCAGCAUGUGUGUUAGUGGAAGCGUCUGGAAAGGCGCGCGAUACAGGGUGACAGCCCCGUACACAAAAGCGCAUGUGCUGUGAGCUCGAUGAGUAGGGCGGGACACGUGGUAUCCUGUCUGAAUAUGGGGGGACCAUCCUCCAAGGCUAAAUACUCCUGACUGACCGAUAGUGAACCAGUACCGUGAGGGAAAGGCGAAAAGAACCCCGGCGAGGGGAGUGAAAAAGAACCUGAAACCGUGUACGUACAAGCAGUGGGAGCCCCACCACCAAAGCAUUUGCUGUACCGCGUUGACGGAGCGAAGCGACGUCAAACCGAUAAAACAGCAGUGUAAAGUGAGCCGCAGGGCGCUUUGCGCGACAGCGCAAAGGCAGGCGGUUUCG